GACGAACGCUGGCGGCGUGCUUAACACAUGCAAGUCGAGCGAGGCCCCUCCUUCGGGAGGGUGUCCUAGCGGCGAACGGGUGAGUAACACGUGGGCAACCUGCCCCCGGCUCUGGGAUAACUCCAAGAAAUUGGGGCUAAUACCGGAUAUGACCGCUGACGCAUGGUCUGGUGGUGGAAAGAUUUAUCGGCUGGGGAUGGGCCCGCGGCCUAUCAGCUUGUUGGUGGGGUAGUUGCCUACUAAGGCGACGACCGGUAGCCGGCCUGAGAGGGGGACCGGCCACACUGGGACGGAGCCACGGCCCAGACUCCUACGGGAGGCAGCAGUGGGGAAUAUUGCGCAAUGGGCGGAAGCCUGACGCAGAGACGCCGCGGGGGGGAUGACGGCCUUCGGGUUGUAAACCUCUUUCAGCAGGGACGAAGCGAAAGUGACGGUACCUGCAGAAGAAGCACCGGCCAACUACGUGCCAGCCGCCGCAGUAA
rnacentral:rRNA from 1 species